UACAGAGGUCUCAAGCGUUGUUCGGAUUCAUUGGGCGUAAAGGGUGCGUAGGUGGCGCCAUAAGUCAGGUGUGAAAUCUCGGGGCUUAACUCCGAAACUGCAUUUGAUACUGUGGUGCUUGAGGACUGGAGAGGAGACUGGAAUUUACGGUGUAGCAGUGAAAUGCGUAGAGAUCGUAAGGAAGACCAGUGGCGAAGGCGGGUCUCUGGACAGUUCCUGACGCUGAGGCACGAAGGUCAGGGGAGCAAACGGG
rnacentral:rRNA from 1 species